CAGGGGGAACGUUUACAGUGUAACACCAGAAGCGAGCCCUGCUUUCCGCUCGCUCUUGACUGUUUUUAUUUUUGAUAUUUAUUCAUCGCCCUUGUAGAUUUUCUCCACACAAUAUGAGUUGUGAAGGGGACGCCGAUGACGCUGGUGCCACUAAACGAUUAGUCGCAUAUAUUUUUAGCCAGGAAUACAUUGAAACUUGCGAUUCUUUAUCCAAAGUGCCGAACCGGGCGAGUAUGGUCCACUCACUGAUAGAAGCUUAUGGACUCCUGAAACAUAUGAGCAUUGUGAAGCCUCGUGUGGCCACCAUAGAGGAUAUGGCUGAGUUCCACUCAGACUUCUACCUGGAGCAUCUUCACAAAAUCAGUCAGGACGGAGACAACGAUGACCCACACUCGGUUGACUACGGCCUGGGUUACGACUGCCCAGUAGUGGAGGGCAUAUUUGACUAUGCGGCAGCAGUAGGGGGCGCUACACUCACAGCCGCCAAGUGCCUACUGGACCAGGCAUGCGAUGUGGCCAUCAACUGGGCCGGUGGGUGGCACCAUGCGAAGAAGGACCAAGCGUCGGGCUUCUGCUACGUCAACGACGUCGUCUUGGGAAUCCUCAAGCUGAGGGAAAAAUAUGACAGAGUCCUUUACGUCGAUGUGGACUUGCAUCACGGAGACGGUGUGGAGGAAGCCUUCAGCUUCACAUCCAAAGUCAUGACGGUGUCCCUGCACAAGUUCUCUCCAGGAUUCUUCCCAGGCACGGGUGAUGUCACUAAUAUUGGCUUGUGCAAAGGCCGCUGGUAUACGGUUAACGUUCCUCUGGAGGACGGCAUCCGAGACGACCGAUAUUACCAAAUCUUCUCCAGCGUCAUGCCUGACGUGCGCGCUCACUUCAACCCGGACGCCGUGGUGAUGCAACUGGGCGCCGACACCAUGGCAGGCGAUCCCAUGUGCUCGUUUAACAUGACGCCACCGGGGGUGGCCAAGUGCCUGCAGUACGUGCUGCAGUGGCGCCUUCCGACGCUGCUGCUGGGAGGGGGGGGAUACAAUCUGGCCAACACAGCCCGCUGCUGGACCCACCUCACAGCAGUGCUUCUGGGAAAGACCCUCGCUUCAGAAAUACCUGACCACGAGGUAAUAUUUUUUUACAGAGUACGGCCCUGACUAUUCGCUAGAAAUCAGUCCGAGCUGCCGACCAGACCGCAACGACGCCAAACAUCUGGACCAGGUCGUGGCCACCAUUAAACGAAAUCUGAAGAAUGUGGUUUAGAAGCCAAAGACAUUAUGGAAGGCAUGUGUUCGUUCAGCCGUCUGCCUUAUAUGGAAUGCAGAAGGUUAUUAGGGAACUUUUGGCACACUGCUACCUUGAAGAGGGUUGUACACUAUUCACGUUUGGAUGUGUCUGUUUCUUGUUUUUUUUAUUUUUUUUUUAUAAAAGUGCGUUUUAAUUACACGGUUGCCUCACUGAAUCCACAAGUAUUUGUUUAGAAUGAGUUCAAACCAACCUGCAGGUUUAUUCCCAUGGGAACAGUACAGCUUUGAGAAUUUUGCACCGCUACUUGUAAAUACCUUUACCCAUGUUAUUGUGUCUUUUGAAACUUUUAAAGUUGACUUGGAACAUGUAUCGUUGGUCUCUUUUACUUUCUACUUCAGCUGGUCAUAAAAGUGUCAACAUUUAUUUCGACCAAUAUUGCAUGAUAUUGAUAAUAAUUCCAACAUUUCAAGUA